ensembl:lncRNA
AUGUCUUGUUUUUCAGGUAAGGGACAGAGGCUUACGUUGAGAAAGGGUUGCCCAUCACUUAAAAUGGGCUCCUGGUCCCUUGGGCAUUGGCCAGGGACCUGCGUAAGAAGCAGAGGAACCAAGUCUUCCAUCUCUACACCACUGCAGUCCACACUGCAGUCUGACUCCUUCUCUAGACAUAGCAGAGCUCUGGGUAAACCAGGACUUACCAGUGUUAGAAAGACUGCCCGGUCAUCAGUCUUCUGCACUGUGUGCUUCAUUGUACUGCAUGCUGAGGAAUAUUUCCCCCAGGAGGCUCGUGAGGGGCAUCUCCAGCCAGAGGAGGAUGUCCUGGAUGAAGACGCUCAUUUUACAUGUAAGAAGAAUCAGGGAUAUCAAGUCUGGAGACGGAAAGAGGAUGCUGAGCCCACAAUUGCUAGUAAGGACUUUCACUUACACAGGAGGGGAAAGGAACAAAGUGGAUUAGGAAAGAAAAAUGUUAGUGGCCUGUGUUAAAUGGAGGCUUGAAUCAGCCUCAAGAAUGGCUGGAUCUAGUAUUUUACCAACAUCUUUGCAGUUCUUUUCUCCAGUGGCCUGUCUCUACUUAUGUGAUCCAUAGCUGUACCCCAAACUACACCCUCAGGGCUCUGACUCAUACCAUCUCUCAAAUAUUUUCUCCUCAUAUGGCAGGAAGCCUUCUUAGUCAUAUUCUAUUUAGAGACCCCAUCAGAAAAAGAUGGUCUCCCCUACCCAGUCUGUUGAAAGAGUUUUAGGCCCAACCGGUUGAAUCGAACUUGAAACCCAGUCCUAUCCUUGGCCUGAGCUGGACAUGAGCACACUUCUUAGUGUGCAGAAUACUGCAGUCAGAUCCACCUAAAGCACAGUAAAUAGAUGCCUUCUAGAAGGUUCUAUCAAUUCAGGGAGGGCAGAAGUGGUGCCAGGCAGACAAAACCUACAGAAGCCCCCACAGCCAUCAACAGAUCCUGAGAGAAUCUGCUCUUUUCUUCUGGACACUGCAAGUUUAACCAACCUCCCUCUUUCCUGCUAGCUCUCCUCAGCUGCCCAUGGCCCAGGAGACAAGGGUUCAGUCCACAUAAUGCCCUACCACAAACUCUGUGCUCUGGUCUGCUCCCUGUUCAACUUCACCCCCUAUUUCUGCUCCUUCAUUCUCUCCUAGGUGCUUUCCACCAGAGCUGGUCAGUCCCCACUCCCUCCUUCCAGGUUUUCCUCUAAUCCUCAGCAAUGUGGCCAGAAACAACACAGCUCCCUGAAGGCCCUCGGGAACAGAGGAAAUACCCACCCAGCACAGAUAAUCGCCUCUCCCAGAGGUGGCUGCUGUGUUGCUGACUUUGAAGUCCUGCCCAAGCUCUACCCUGCCUCCCACCUCUGGACCCAGCCCAGCCUCCUGUCCCUAGACAGAGCUCAGGGGCCAAGUGAUCCCACUCUCACGACAGCCUCAGACACUGUUUUCCCCUCUUAGACUCAAGACCUGCCCCAUAAUUGGCCUCUUCCUUGCAUUACCCAUAAUAGAAAUAUUUAAAAAAAGACACCCACAGGUGAUUGAUUCCCCUGAAGCUUGGCAGUCAGCUGGCAGUGGCAACUCAGGUGACAUCCCAAUCCUAGGUCUAGGACGUGUGGCCCUGAGCAGCAUCCACUUCAUCCAAAAAAGUGAACAUUUCUUCCCACACUCUUCACUACCCCAGCCCCCAAUCUUGUGCAAACAACCGGUCCCAGAAUAUUAUCUGUAACUUUGCAAGAGCUCACCAACCUCAGGCAUAGGAUAGUGUGACUCCAAAUUAGGACAUGGUGGUGCUCUAAGUAAACAGUCCCCAGAGGCAUAAUUUUAAGUAAUUCCAAAUGUCUUUUGCUAAAGGGUAUUCACAUCUCAGAGUCAGAAAUCUCUUUAAGGCUCCCUUGGUGCUUUCCCAUACCCACCAAGACUGGCACCCGGGUGGAGUGGAGGCUUGUUUCCUAUUGAUAGAACUCAAGGGUCAAGCGGUGAAUUCCGAGACAAAAGAGUAUCUUCUGCAAGCAAAUUUUAGCCUCCACCAGGAGGGCAGUGCCAUUUCUCCUCCCAGUUAAAUAAAGAACAACUUAUUAUAAUGUUAUAAUUCCA